rnacentral:sRNA from 1 species
GAUUUGCGUGAGUGAUGGAAGUGGAGCUCUUUUUUUGAGAGGCUUUUGCCGAACAAAAAAAAGCGGGAACGGACAGCACGCUCCGGA